rnacentral:rRNA from 1 species
UACAGAGGAGCCAAGCGUUGUCCGGAUUGACUGGGCGUAAAGCGCACGCAGGCGGACGCGCGCGUGGGGUGUGAAAUCUGGCCGCUUAACGGCCAGGCGCCAUCCCAUACGGCGUGUCUGGAGUGAUGCAGAGGUCGAUGGAAUUGCCGGUGUAGAGGUGAAAUUCGUAGAUAUCGGGAGGAACACCAGUGGCGAAGGCGGCGACCUGGGGCAAUACUGACGCUGAGGUGCGAAAGCGUGGGGAGCAAACAGG